rnacentral:misc_RNA from 1 species
AAGUCGUAACAAGGUCUCCGUUGGUGAACCAGCGGAGGGAUCAUUACCGAGUUUACAACUCCCAAACCCAUGUGAACAUACCUAUCGUUGCCUCGGCGGGAAAGCCCCGGGCGCUGGCGCAAGCCUUCGCACCGGUACCAGGCGCCCGCCGCAGGACCCAAAACAAACCCUUGAAUUCUAAAGCAUCUUCUGAGUGGUAUAAGCAAAUAAAUUAAAACUUUCAACAACGGAUCUCUUGGCUCUG